GGUUUAAUUCGAUGAUACGCGAGGAACCUUAGCCGGGCUUGAAUUGCAGAGGAAGGAUUUGGAGACAAUGACGCCCUUCGGGGCCUCUGUGAAGGUGCUGCAUGGUUGUCGUCAGCUCGUGCCGUGAGGUGUCGGCUUAAGUGCCAUAACGAGCGCAACCCCUCUCCUUAGUUGCCAUCAGGUCAUGCUGGGCACUCUGGGGACACUGCCACCGUAAGGUGUGA
rnacentral:rRNA from 1 species